CUGCAACUCUGCUUUAUCCUGCCAACCUGGUUUACUACCAACCCUGCUCCAUACCAACCCUGCUUCAUACCAACCUAGAUUGCCUGCAACUCUGCUUUAUCCUGCCAACCUGGUUUACUACCAACCCUGCUCCAUACCAACCCUGCUUCAUACCAACCUAGAUUGCCUGCAACUCUGCUUUAUCCUGCCAACCUGGUUUACUACCAACCCUGCU